AACUCGCCUACACGAAGCUGGAAUCGCUAGUAAUCGCGGAUCAGCACGCCGCGGUGAAUACGUUCCCGGGCCUUGUACACACCGCCCGUCACACCAUGAGAGUCUGUAACACCCAAAGCCGGUGGGAUAACCUUUAUAGGAGUCAGCCGUCUAAGGUAGGACAGAUGAUUAGGGUGAAGUCGUAACAAGGUAUC
rnacentral:rRNA from 1 species